AAAAUAAUUAAAUAAAUAAUUUUGUUUAUUAUUUAUACGUGAAUGGCCUUAAUUUUCAACAGUUUUGCUAGGUUGCUCCUAUUGGCUUGAAAGUGUUGGCAUCCAUGUUGUAGCCUUUGGGCCAGAUCCCUCAACCAUGCGUGAAACCCACGAGUUUACAAAAUAAAGAAAGAGGAGAGAGAGAGAGAGAGGAACACGAUCUUGGGUUGGGUUGCUCUGAAGUCGAGCGACCUUGCGUCGAGCGACCAACUUGAGUGUUCACCGACGACGACGAUGACCACCGACUUGGGUGUUCACCGACGACCGCCACUGACCACCGUGCACCUCUCUUGCUGUUGAGCAUUACAACAACAUUCAUAGGAGAUUGGCAAUCUGAUACUCCAGGAGAGUUUGGUGUUCUAAUAUUUCUUACCCACUGCCUCAUUUGCUGGCUCAGACCUUUGGUAAAGCCAAGGACAAGACUGUCAAGGUCUAUGCCAAGAAGCCUAAAAGGAGGAAUCCCUUGGAUGACUCUUAUGAUGCGGACUCUGAGAGGAGGAAGACCAAGCAGAAUCCUUCUCAUUCUAAGGCACCAACUACCUCACAGAAGGCUAGCAAAACUGGCCCAGGCACAGAGGCUGGCCAAGGUCCUGAUGUGGGUGACCUCACCCUUGAAGAACAAAGAUUUUUUCUUGAAGACCUGUCCUUAGCGGGGCAAGCACUGGUCUAUGAGGCUGCUCCCUCCUUAACAGCUCAUGUGGAUACUUCCAAGAAAACCCCUUCUUUUGACGAGGACAAUGUUCCCAUCAUUUCCCUUCUUGCAAAGUCUGCCACGAAGGCCAAAAUUCCUCAGGUGCAUUUUUUCUUCUCUUUUCUCUAUUUUUCCCUUUUUAUUUAGUUCACCACAUGAACUCCUUCCUCUCUUUUCUUUUCGGUUGAAGAGGAGAAAGCUACUAGUGACUGAGGAUACCAGUAGUCCCUCUAGGGACUCUGCUCCCCCAUCCUCCGACCUGAACCCCCAACAAGAGGAUGUAUUCGUCCAUUCUAUAGCAGAGAUAGUUGUUAAGCUGCCAUAUUAUGCUGCAACUGCUUUGCUUGUUCCUCCUCUGCAAUCUGUUCCUGUUGGGGAUGAUGAGGUCAAAGCUUACCACUACUCAAGCUCUGAAUCUUCAAGUCGUGACAGUGCAGCCCUUCAACUUAAUCAACAGAGGUUCCGUCGACAAGAUGGUGCUUCCUCUUCAAUGGUUGGGACUGGGGUUGAAGCUGAAAUGCAGAACCUAGAAGGGCAAACACCCAUGGCUGAUGAAGUUCAUUCUGCCCCUUCUGAAAUGGAAGGAGGAGAAGAAGAAGAAAUUUCCCAUAUCAGCCCUGAGACCGACAAUCCUUCCUUUGAGGCUAGGCCUGAAGAUCCCUCUAUUGAUUCUCCAAGGCCUGCCUUUAAUGUAACACCGAUCACUGCUUCUGAGGAACUUAUGGCAGAUUCUGCUGAGCUAACCCCUAAGCCAGCUCAAGCUUCUCGGACACUUGCCAUUUCAUUUUCUUCAGAGCAUAUCUUGCCACACUUAGCUGCUGGUUUUGAGACCAUUCUUGAGCCUGCUUCCAGGGCUCCUACUGAAACUUUUCCUGUCCAAUCCAUGCUAGAACAACGCGAUCAUCCUAGUCCUAACCAUCCUUCUGAAGGCCUUGCUAUUUAUGGCCAUUCCCCUGGGGCGGAGUAACCUCCAUCUCCUCAUCCUGUCACCAGUACUUCUCCUACUGAAGUGAGGGUAGCUCUCAUCCCUGAAGUGGAGGUCCAUACUUCCCAGGCCACCCCCUUUUGAGCCUUAUCUUCCCCUCCUGUGCUGACAUUUCUCCUAUGGCCUCAACUCCUGACCUGCUUCAACAAGCCAGUGCCUUUCAGCUGUCAUUUGCCAGUACUACUUAUGAGGAAAGAUUUAGGCAACUCUCCUUCUUUGAACAACAGGAAGUUGACUAGUUCUUUUUGCUACUGAGCCUCCCUUUUGAGGAUCUUGCCCUCACCAGGGCUGAAGAACUUCUUAGUGGGUUUCAGAGCUUUGUGACAUUAGCAUAAAGGCUCUUAGAUCCUGAUCAAUUCUACAUCUUUCAAGACUUCAUGGCGCUUCCUCAACACAUUUCCUCCAUGGCACAGUUUGAAGCUGAGACUGAGGCUACUAAUGCUAGGAUGGCCUCUGUGAGGCAAGUCUCUUAUACUCUGGGCAGUGCCUCUGCCAGAACCCAAGCCAUUUCUAGGGCCAGUGCCUCUAUUGAUGAGAGGAAGACUGCUAUUUUGGCUCAAAUUCAACAGCUCCAGGCAGAACUGGCCGCAGGUGAGGUUCAAUAGGCUGCUCUGAUGGAAGAACAAAGCCAUAUCAAUCAACAGAUGAACCAGCUCUUGGCUCAGGAUAGCCCAGUUGCCCUCAAGGAUGCUCAAGGGAACUUUUCCAGGUUAAGGCAAAAAGGAGAGCCAUCUUGUCUUCUUGGGCCAACGUUGUAACUGCCCUUCAGAGGGAUUAAGACCCUUUCUUUUUUUUUUUUUCCUUUUGUUUUUUUUUUUAAGACUAGAUGGUGAUAUGUACAUGAACCCCACGAUAAUAUUAUUAAUGAAAUCAUUCUUUAUUUUACCCAUGCUUGAUGCUUUUCCACAUGGUUGGAUAAUAUUUUUUAAAAUACUUUCCAUUUAUAAUUCUUCUGUAUGGGACUCCCUCUAUAGAUGCAAGAUGAUAGGCUCCUCCCUAGAGGACCUUGUAAAUCUUUAAUGGCCCUUCCCAAUUUGGAGAUCACUUUCCAAAAUUUGGAUCUUUGAAGGACAGUAUGGUUUUCCAUACUAAAUCUCCUUCUGAAAAUACUUUGAUCUUCACUCUUUUAUUAUAAGCUCUUUCGACUUUUCUUUUCUGAGCCAAGAGAUGGUUGUAGGCCAUAACUGUUCGUUCUUCCAGAUCUUGCAACUUCAUCAUCAUGGCCUCAGCAUA